CGAUAUGGCUCAUUAAAUCAGUUAUCGUUUAUUUGAUAAUACCUUACUACUUGGAUAACCGUGGUAAUUCUAGAGCUAAUACAUGCUGAAAAUCCCGACUUCGGAAGGGAUGUGUUUAUUAGAUAAAAAACAAAUGCCCUUCGGGGCUUUUUGGUGAUUCAUGAUAACUUUACAGAUCGCAUAGCCUUGCGCUGGCGACAGUUCAUUCAAAUUUCUGCCCUAUCAACUUUCUAUGGUAAGGUAUUGGCUUACCAUGGUUUCAACGGGUAACGGGGAAUUAGGGUUCUACUUCUUAAGAGGGAG
rnacentral:rRNA from 1 species